rnacentral:rRNA from 1 species
CCUCUGAACUUCAGUUGAAUCUUUCUACUUUCCAAAAGAUCUGUUGAAUAUCUCCUCUAGCUAAUGAUCAUGCUCAUAGUGGUAACAGAUCGAUCAAGGGUUCGGUUCGAUUGGUUUGUCAUUGUCGUACACACGAGUACGUUGAAGGCCAUUCGGACAUAGAGCGUGCGGUGUUCGUUUCGAGCAGCACGGUCGCGACUACCGGGAAGUCGAGUAGCACCGUUGUCAGCGGCGACAGGGUGAUCGGAACGGACCGACGGGCCUCCGGACGCCGUCCCAGUAGCAGGGGAUGGGAAAGCCGAAGGCCGUUCCGACGAAGGUGCGCCCGAAGUUGGAGUGGACGCUGCUCUGUGCGGUGGGAGGCUUCGACGAGGACCCGUUGCCGCACCUCCACCUACGGUAGAGGGACCACCUACCGUGCCAAGUACACGUCUCGUUCUGGCACUAACGGUGCGCCAGGCCGGGAUACUCUUUGUCGUGCGCCUACGGUAGAAAGUAGUUGAGGUUGCCGAGCACCCAGUCGCCGGAUUGCCCAUGGCCGCCCGUCGUCGAGCGAGACAGCAGGCUCGUGUUGCCGGGGCUCCUCAAGUGGAGUACGAGCCCGCAACCGACGACGGUCUGCUACAAGUUCCUAAACCAGCUAUCUCUCCGGCACAUGGUCCACUGCAAGUUCCUAAACCUGAUAUGCCUACGGUCAAUGGUUGGCAGCCUCAGUCAUCGGUGCGAGUAUCAGCUAGCGCUCACCAAGUUGCCCUUACGCCCCCACUACGAAUUAUUGUGGAAGCCAAGAAUACUGGUGGUAACCCCUUCAAAUUCGGGGCCUCGGCAUGGGUGGCAUAAUUAAACCACCGACCUUGUUCUCGCACUGGCACUAUAUCACAAGAUACUAGGAUUAUAGAGAGUGACCUCUACGGAUUCAAACUUGUCGCAGCAAUGGAUACAAUUACCUAAACGUUAUUCCACGUCAACGAACCUGCCUAUGCUUCCGUUAGGAAUGUACGCAGUGCCUACGGUUCUAAGCUCCUAUGCUCCCGUUGGGGAAUGUAGUGACUACCCACGGUUCUAUAGUUGCUUACGGAUGUCGGUCCACAAAUAGGGACGGUACCCUGGACGUAGUUAUACGGUCCCUGUAUGGCUACGAGUCGUUUCUUUUCUUAGUAGUUGAAUGGUUCAUGCCUUUUGUGUGAGUUAUUCCGAAAACAACCACUGUUAAUGUUUCUCUUUUCAGGUACAAAACAAGUAGUUGAUAACAGAUUAAUGGUAUUAUCGUUAACGACGACCAAAACCGGAUGAAAGAAGUCAGGAUCCACAACGGGUUCAGUGUUUUUUUGAGUUCUUUGCUUCUCGGUUCUUCAAGUCUGUCUUCAACAAGUUCUUUUUGGUACCUAACGAAGACGUUGUCAAUUAGAGAAGCUUGUUUCUAUAUCGACUUUUCUACUUUUAAAAGUCGAAUGUUCUCGAUCUCGUUCGUUGGUUGUUCAAACUGGUAUUGGCCUAGGAACCGCCGCCACCCGUACCGUGGCACAUAUUCCCGUAGAAUAGACUAGUUGCACAACACCGGUAGUUCUUCCGGUUUUAACAUCAAGUUUCCCUUUAGCUGGUUCUAUAGUUCACGCGUUUAUAUGACGAAUGACUAUGGAAUUGUAGUUUUCAUAGUCUAAAACCUCGAAGUUCCAGUUAACGUUAACUACUCUGACCUUAUGAUUGUCGACAGGUUCCUUGGAUACCAAUGGAACUAGGAUUUAUAAUGAUGUGAUCAGCCAAGUGCCUCUUUUCGCUACAAAUGUCGAAGCCACAGUAGGAUCGUCUCAAUGACUGUUCCCACUGUAGUCAAAAAAGAAGAGUAAGGAGUCUUCAGUGUACGAAUCGUAGUGUAAAACACAGUGAAUAUUCUCUAUCAGCUAAGAAGCUAUAACAGCUAUGUGUUUAACAACUCCUCCCUCCCCGACUUCUACGGCUCCAUCAACGUUCUGAGCGCCUUUGUACGAAUUUAAAUUCUCCGCUUCUUUCCGGAUGUUACUCCGUUCACCUCUGUUGUGAACUUCUACACGUCUCGAGUUCCCAGGUAGAGUUAAGAGUCUAAUGUUCUCACCUGGUCUUACGAUAUUUACUAGUCAGUAUGUUUCCUUCGUUUACACCGCUUCCUUGAUCUAACAUGUCGAACCUUUUCCUUAAAUAGGUCAGUAGAUUUUAAGGUUCUACU